GCUUAUAGGCAUCUGUCCGAAACACAAGAAGAGAUGAUAUGGGAUCUUGGUACAUUGAAUCUUGGGCUAGUGAAAGCGUUCAAUAUAAUGAGACAAAGAUACAGAGGUUUUGAAAAUGUUGGCGCAACUAAAGACGAUUGCAAGAAUUUUAGAGCUAGGAUACAUAGCUAUAUAGGAGAGUAUGAUGCAGAUAUGGUUAUAAAUAGGUUGACCGAUAAAAAGCAGUUUAUGGUUGAUUAUUCAUUUGUACAUUCAGUCGAUGAAAACAAGCGAUUAACUGGCCUGUUCUGGGCCGAUGGUUUGUGCAAACGUAACUAUGCUGAGUUUGGAGACGUCAUAUCGUUUGAUGCUACAUUCAAAACCAACAACAUCUGAAAGCAUUGAAUCAUACAAAUGGCUGUUACAAUCAUUUUUGGACUCAUUUGGUAAGCAGCCGAAGGUGGUCGUCACUGAUCAGGACCCGGCGAUGAAACAAGCUAUCGAGGCAGUGUUCGAUAAGAGUAGGCACAAAUUAUGUAUGUGGCACAUAAUGAAGAUAGUUGCCGAUAAGGUGGGACAUGAGUUGUGUAACAACGAAGACUUCAAAAGACGUAUGUGUGACAUUGUAUGGACUGAUUCGAUUGCGCCAGAAAAGUUUGAGAGAGAAUGGAAACUGAUAAUGAUUAAAUUCGGUCUAACCGAUAAUAAAUGGAUUGACGAUAUGUUUGGCAUGAGAUCUUCGUGGAUUCCAGCUUUCUAUGGUCAUGAGCCUACGUCUGGGCUCAUGCGGACCACCUCCAGAUCAGAGAGCGAAAACCAUUUUUUCUGUCAGGUGGCGAAUUCUCAACUUACCCUUAUUGAGUUUUUAACCACUUUGAUGGUGCAAUGGACGUGCAAAGAUUCAACCAUCGGAAAAAUGACCAUAUUUCUAGAAAUACAACCCCAGAUAACUGGUCUGAAACUACCUUAGAGGAUGAUGCUAUGAAAAUUUACACCAGGUCCAUCUUUGCUGAUCAACAGGCAGAGUUAUAUGGAACACUGUCUGAGUGUCUUCCUAUGGAGACUAAAAUCAAGGAACCAUUCUUGAAGAUAAGUAUGAAGGAUUGGAAAGCCCGCGCUGACGGUUUAUUAGAGGUUUGUUUCAAGAAGGGGGAGGAUGUAAUUGCAUCAUGCAGUUGUCGCAGGUUUGAACAAUGUGGAUUGUUGUGCAAACAUAUAUACUUUGUGUUUAAGAUGUUCAAAUUUAAAGAAAUUCCCAACAAGUACGUUAUGAGAAGAUGGACCAAAGAUGUGGUACCAAAUGAUCUAAAUAACACAUUUGAUUUAAGUGUUGAUGAUAAUGAUGGGCAUAAAAAGGCCAAAGAGGUUGCGUAUGAGAUAAUGCAGACCGGAGAGUAUCUUAUUGGUAACUUGAUGAGAGAUUUUGAUCAUCUAGUUAUAGUCAGGGACCGAAUGAGGGAGAUGAAAUAAAUGGUUGAUGAACUUCGCAUAACCAAACCCAUCGACCCUAAGUUUGAUAGAUAUUCAAGGUUAAUCGGUUACGAGAAACCGAACACUGAUGUUCCACCUACAGUCCGCGUGCCAACCGGUAUUAGAAACAAAGGUUGCGGUUCACAUAAGCGGAUUAAAUCAAAAAAAGAAAAGAUGGUUAGUCUAAAAGGAAAGAGAAGUCGUACAUGCAGUGUUUGCAAUACCAAAGGUCAUGAUAUCCGAACUUGUUCAGUUUUAAAGGGUCAAGCUAGUGCUGCCGAUAAGAAGGGGAAGAAAAGAAGAGUAAUUCAGUUGGAGAUUGAUCCUGGUUUAGUAGAUGAAGAGUACGAGGAGGCAGAAACUGGUGAGGGAGAGGAGGAGUAUGAGGAGGUUGACAAAGCAGAUGAUAGUGAUUCUGAAUGGGAAGAGCUAAACGACGACGACGAGUAAUUUUUAAACCACAAAUGCAUACAUUUAAUCAUGGGUUUUUUCAUGCCUUUUUAAAGAAACAACUUUAUGUGA